rnacentral:rRNA from 1 species
UUGAACGCUGGCGGCAUGCCUUACACAUGCAAGUCGAACGGCAGCACGGAGCUUGCUCUGGUGGCGAGUGGCGAACGGGUGAGUAAUAUAUCGGAACGUACCCUGGAGUGGGGGAUAACGUAGCGAAAGUUACGCUAAUACCGCAUACGAUCUACGGAUGAAAGUGGGGGAUCGCAAGACCUCAUGCUCGUGGAGCGGCCGAUAUCUGAUUAGCUAGUUGGCGGGGUAAGAGCCCACCAAGGCAUCGAUCAGUAGCUGGUCUGAGAGGACGACCAGCCACACUGGAACUGAGACACGGUCCAGACUCCUACGGGAGGCAGCAGUGGGGAAUUUUGGACAAUGGGCGCAAGCCUGAUCCAGCAAUGCCGCGUGAGUGAAGAAGGCCUUCGGGUUGUAAAGCUCUUUUGUCAGGGAAAGAAACGGCGUUUUCUAAUACAGAAUGCUAAUGACGGUACCUGAAGAAUAAGCACCGGCUAACUACGUGCCAGCAGCCGCGGUAAUACGUAGGGUGCAAGCGUUAAUCGGAAUUACUGGGCGUAAAGCGUGCGCAGGCGGUUUUGUAAGUCAGUCGUGAAAUCCCCGGGCUCGACCUGGGAAUGGCGAUGGAGACUGCAAGGCUAGAGUUUGGCAGAGGGGGGUAGAAUUCCACGUGUAGCAGUGAAAUGCGUAGAUAUGUGGAGGAACACCGAUGGCGAAGGCAGCCCCCUGGGUCAAAACUGACGCUCAUGCACGAAAGCGUGGGGAGCAAACAGGAUUAGAUACCCUGGUAGUCCACGCCCUAAACGAUGUCUACUAGUUGUCGGGUCUUAAUUGACUUGGUAACGCAGCUAACGCGUGAAGUAGACCGCCUGGGGAGUACGGUCGCAAGAUUAAAACUCAAAGGAAUUGACGGGGACCCGCACAAGCGGUGGAUGAUGUGGAUUAAUUCGAUGCAACACGAAAAACCUUACCUACCCUUGACAUGGACGGAAUCCUUGAGAGAUCGAGGAGUGCUCGAAAGAGAGCCGUCACACAGGUGCUGCAUGGCUGUCGUCAGCUCGUGUCGUGAGAUGUUGGGUUAAGUCCCGCAACGAGCGCAACCCUUGUCAUUAGUUGCUACGAAAGGGCACUCUAAUGAGACUGCCGGUGACAAACCGGAGGAAGGUGGGGAUGACGUCAAGUCCUCAUGGCCCUUAUGGGUAGGGCUUCACACGUCAUACAAUGGUACAUACAGAGGGCCGCCAACCCGCGAGGGGGAGCUAAUCCCAGAAAGUGUAUCGUAGUCCGGAUUGUAGUCUGCAACUCGACUGCAUGAAGUUGGAAUCGCUAGUAAUCGCGGAUCAGCAUGUCGCGGUGAAUACGUUCCCGGGUCUUGUACACACCGCCCGUCACACCAUGGGAGCGGGUUUUACCGGAAGUAGGUAGCUUAACCGCAAGGGGGGCGCUUACCACGGUAGGAUUCGUGACUGGGGUG